rnacentral:tRNA from 1 species
ACCCAGACAGUAUGAUGGAUAUGACCCUCGGUUUUUAACCGAGUGGGCUCGGGUUCGAAUCCCGAAUGUAUCUUCGGGAA